rnacentral:piRNA from 1 species
UGAAAAUUUGAAUGAGUCAUACA